CUGAACCUGUCGUGUUACUUUUGUCGGAGUGAUGGUGGACCAUUAUGCAGGCAAUGAUAUUUUGUGCUUCCCUUUAUGAUAGUUGAUCUUCCUUUUGCAACAACAAGACGAGUUCUUAGAAUACAUAAUUAAUUGAAAUCUACAGGCACACUGGCUUUUAAAAACACCUCAUCACCCAGGUGGCACAUCAAUGUUAACAUCCCUGAGAUGAAGGCCAUGGUCGCAAGAACAAGUGGCAUGUCUUACCAAAUUGAGCUGCGAAAUAUGGGACAGGGCCAACGGCAGGCAACUGAAUCGACUGUUGCAGCUUUGGCAGCUGUUGACCCCAACUCAAUAUUAUAAGCUCGAAGAUAAGAAUCACUGAGGUUAUCUCAACUACCGACUGGUGGUACAUGGGAUGCCAAAUAUGCUGGAGAAAAUUACUAAAAGAGGGAAACAUAUACAGGUGCCAUAUAUGCACUGAACCA